GGUUAACGCGAGGAGACAGACAUGGGACUCACGCAAUCCUUGAAUGUUCUGUUGGUCAGUGCAGCGUUUGCUUUCGUCUUAUCCAUGCUCUUCAUCUGAGCCUGGAUGACGGACGCGUAACGUUGAUAGUGCCUAAACUCCCCUGAUCAAUCCGCCAAUGAAAAAGCGCAUGUCCCGCCCGACAUGCGCUUU
rnacentral:sRNA from 14 species